rnacentral:rRNA from 1 species
AGCUUGCUACCUGACCUAGCGGCGGACGGGUGAGUAAUGCUUAGGAAUCUGCCUAUUAGUGGGGGACAACAUUCCGAAAGGAAUGCUAAUACCGCAUACGCCCUACGGGGGAAAGCAGGGGAUCUUCGGACCUUGCGCUAAUAGAUGAGCCUAAGUCAGAUUAGCUAGUUGGUGGGGUAAAGGCCUACCAAGGCGACGAUCUGUAGCGGGUCUGAGAGGAUGAUCCGCCACACUGGGACUGAGACACGGCCCAGACUCCUACGGGAGGCAGCAGUGGGGAAUAUUGGACAAUGGGCGAAAGCCUGAUCCAGCCAUGCCGCGUGUGUGAAGAAGGCCUUUUGGUUGUAAAGCACUUUAAGCGAGGAGGAGGCUACUUGGAUUAAUACUCUAGGAUAGUGGACGUUACUCGCAGAAUAAGCACCGGCUAACUCUGUGCCAGCAGCCGCGGUAAUACAGAGGGUGCGAGCGUUAAUCGGAUUUACUGGGCGUAAAGCGUGCGUAGGCGGCUUUUUAAGUCGGAUGUGAAAUCCCUGAGCUUAACUUAGGAAUUGCAUUCGAUACUGGGAAGCUAGAGUAUGGGAGAGGAUGGUAGAAUUCCAGGUGUAGCGGUGAAAUGCGUAGAGAUCUGGAGGAAUACCGAUGGCGAAGGCAGCCAUCUGGCCUAAUACUGACGCUGAGGUACGAAAGCAUGGGGAGCAAACAGGAUUAGAUACCCUGGUAGUCCAUGCCGUAAACGAUGUCUACUAGCCGUUGGGGCCUUUGAGGCUUUAGUGGCGCAGCUAACGCGAUAAGUAGACCGCCUGGGGAGUACGGUCGCAAGACUAAAACUCAAAUGAAUUGACGGGGGCCCGCACAAGCGGUGGAGCAUGUGGUUUAAUUCGAUGCAACGCGAAGAACCUUACCUGGUCUUGACAUAGUAAGAACUUUCCAGAGAUGGAUUGGUGCCUUCGGGAACUUACAUACAGGUGCUGCAUGGCUGUCGUCAGCUCGUGUCGUGAGAUGUUGGGUUAAGUCCCGCAACGAGCGCAACCCUUUUCCUUAUUUGCCAGCGGGUUAAGCCGGGAACUUUAAGGAUACUGCCAGUGACAAACUGGAGGAAGGCGGGGACGACGUCAAGUCAUCAUGGCCCUUACGACCAGGGCUACACACGUGCUACAAUGGUCGGUACAAAGGGUUGCUACCUAGCGAUAGGAUGCUAAUCUCAAAAAGCCGAUCGUAGUCCGGAUUGGAGUCUGCAACUCGACUCCAUGAAGUCGGAAUC